rnacentral:rRNA from 1 species
UACGUAGGUGGCAAGCGUUGUCCGGAUUUACUGGGCGUAAAGGAUGCGUAGGCGGACAUUUAAGUCAGAUGUGAAAUACCCGAGCUUAACUUGGGUGCUGCAUUUGAAACUGGGUGUCUAGAGUGCAGGAGAGGUAAGUGGAAUUCCUAGUGUAGCGGUGAAAUGCGUAGAGAUUAGGAAGAACACCAGUGGCGAAGGCGACUUACUGACUGUAACUGACGCUGAGGCAUGAAAGCGUGGGAGCAAACAGG